rnacentral:rRNA from 1 species
AGCGAACGCUGGCGGCAGGCCUAACACAUGCAAGUCGAACGAACCUUUCGGGGUUAGUGGCGGACGGGUGAGUAACACGUGGGAACGUGCCUUUAGGUUCGGAAUAACUCAGGGAAACUUGUGCUAAUACCGAAUGUGCCCUUCGGGGGAAAGAUUUAUCGCCUGUAGAGCGGCCCGCGUCUGAUUAGCUAGUUGGUUGAGGUAAUGGCUCACCAAGGCGACGAUCAGUAGCUGGUCUGAGAGGAUGAUCAGCCACAUUGGGACUGAGACACGGCCCAAACUCCUACGGGAGGCAGCAGUGGGGAAUCUUGCGCAAUGGGCGAAAGGCUGACGCAGCCAUGCCGCGUGAAUGAUGAAGGUCUUAGGAUUGUAAAAUUCUUUCACCGGGGACGAUAAUGACGGUACCCGGAGAAGAAGCCCCGGCUAACUUCGUG